UACGUAGGGUGCGAGCGUUGUCCGGAAUUAUUGGGCGUAAAGAGCUCGUAGGCGGUGUGUCACGUCGGCCGUGAAAACCUGGGGCUUAACUCUGGGCGUGCGGUCGAUACGGGCAUCACUAGAGUUCGGCAGGGGAGACUGGAAUUCCUGGUGUAGCGGUGAAAUGCGCAGAUAUCAGGAGGAACACCGGUGGCGAAGGCGGGGUCUCUGGGCCGAUACUGACGCU
rnacentral:rRNA from 1 species